rnacentral:rRNA from 1 species
GGGGAAUAUUGGACAAUGGGCGAAAGCCUGAUCCAGCAAUGCCGCGUGAGUGAUGAAGGCCUUAGGGUUGUAAAGCUCUUUUACCCGGGAUGAUAAUGACAGUACCGGGAGAAUAAGCUCCGGCUAACUCCGUGCCAGCAGCCGCGGUAAUACGGAGGGAGCUAGCGUUGUUCGGAAUUACUGGGCGUAAAGCGCGCGUAGGCGGUUACUCAAGUCAGAGGUGAAAGCCCGGGGCUCAACCCCGGAACUGCCUUUGAAACUAGGUAACUAGAAUCUUGGAGAGGUCAGUGGAAUUCCGAGUGUAGAGGUGAAAUUCGUAGAUAUUCGGAAGAACACCAGUGGCGAAGGCGACUGACUGGACAAGUAUUGACGCUGAGGUGCGAAAGCGUGGGGAGCAAAC